UACGUAGGGGGCGAGCGUUGUCCGGAUUUAUUGGGCGUAAAACGCUUGUAGGCGGCCACGCCAAGUCGGAUGUGAAGUCUCCCGGCUUAACUGGGAGGGGUCAUCCGAUACUGGCGGGCUCGAGGCAGGUAGGGGGAAGCGGAAUUCCCGGUGUAGUGGUGGAAUGCGUAGAUAUCGGGAGGAACACCAGUGGCGAAGGCGGCUUCCUGGACCUGUUCUGACGCUGAGGAGCGAAAGCGUGGGGAGCGAUCCGG
rnacentral:rRNA from 1 species